rnacentral:ribozyme from 1 species
UGCCAAGCAACUCCUAUCCCUACCUCCGCGUAGUAUCGGCUGUAAACUAUGAGCAACGUUAUGGAAGAUCGGGUAAUCAACCCCGGUGGGAACUUUGGUGGUAGGCUGACAGGGAAGG